CAGGAGCCGGCAGAAAUAUUAGCACCCGAUCGAUGCAGAACCAUGAAAGCAUUUGGACCACAGCUGCUUCUUUUGCUGGCGCUGCUAGGAUUCAUCGCUGGACAGGAGAUGGGAAUCCCACUGAACACACGGACCUGUGCCAGUUGGAGAGGUCUCUGCCGUCGCUCCUGCCUGGCUUAUGAGAUCCACCUGGGUGUUCACGGCUGCCCACGUCACUAUAGAUGCUGUGUGCUGAGAACCUAGCACAGAGAGGAGGUCAAGGAAAUCCAUCACUCCAGUGAAGGGAGGGAUGUUCCGGGUACAAGCUGAUCAGAAGAAGAGUGGCCCCUGUUAUAGACAAGUUUUGCAAUACAGUGGUACCUUGGUUCUCAAACUUGAUCCGUUCCGCAAGUCCGCUCCAAAACCAAAAGCGUUCCAAAACCAAGGCACGCUUUCCCAUAGAAAGUAAUGCAAAAGGGAUUAAUCCGUUCCAGACUUUUAAAAACAACCCCUAAAACAGCAAUUCAACAUGAAUUUUACUAUCUAGCGAGACCAUUGAUCCAUAAAAAUGAAAGCAAUAAACUAUGUACUGCAGUCACACAAUCAAUCAAUCAAUCAAUCAGUAGCUGAACUGGGUUCCACACAGUCAGAAAAACAAAAAAGAGCCGCAAUAACAAAAAAGCAAAAUAAAUAGCAAAAAACAGACAGAACUCAGAGUAACACUCAAAACGUAAGGGUGGCACUCAAAUCGCAAGCGUAACACUCAAAACAGAGAACGUUCGGCUUCCGAAAAAGGUUUGCAAACCGGAACACUUACUUCCGGGUUUGCAGUGUUUGGGUUCCAUGUUGUUUGAGUACCAAGGCGUUUGAGAACCAAGGUACCACUGUAUCUGUUUAUUUGACAUCACCAUGGAAAUCAUCGCCUCCCAACAAUUCACUAUGGCUUCGAUUUGUUUUAAGCUGAUAUGUUUUUAAGUUGCUUAUUUCUGCCUUGCAGCAAGGUGAUUGCGACUGUUUAAUUUUCUUUAAAGGAAACGCUUCAGAGAACACACGACGCAACUUUUGAAAAGUUCGACAAGGCUAAGUUAAAGCUUUGCAACUGGCUAACACUACUUUCUGCUUGUUUAUCAUUCCCAAGACAAAGAUGUAGCACAUAUUGCAACCAACCAUAAAUAAAAGCACGGUGGAAAAUUCAUUGUUUGGCAAUAAUGAUUAAAACAUGCAUUUAUCUUGAA